GUCCAGAUGGCGCAGUGGUCAGCGCAUCUGUCUAGUAUGCAUGAAACCUGGGUUCGAAUCUCGGUCUGGCACA